GAUGAACGCUAGCGGCAGGCUUAACACAUGCAAGUCGAGGGGCAGCACAGGUGGCAACACCGGGUGGCGACCGGCGUAAGGGUGCGUAACACGUGAGCAACAUACCCGUAUCUGGAGGAUAACCGGAGGAAACUCUGCCUAAUACUCCAUAAUAUCAUCGUACGGCAUCGUUUGGUGAUUAAAGAUUUAUCGGACACGGAUUGGCUCGCGGGACAUUAGCUUGUUGGUGGGGUAACGGCUCACCAAGGCCACGAUGUCUAGGGGUUCUGAGAGGAAGGUCCCCCACACUGGAACUGAGACACGGUCCAGACUCCUACGGGAGGCAGCAGUGGGGAAUUUUGGACAAUGGGGGCAACCCUGAUCCAGCCAUGCCGCGUGAGUGAAGAAGGCCUUCGGGUUGUAAAGCUCUUUCAGACGGAAAGAAAACGCAUCGGUGAAUACCCGAUGUGGAUGACGGUACCGUAAGAAGAAGCACCGGCUAACUACGUGCCAGCAGCCGCGGUAAACUGU
rnacentral:rRNA from 1 species